GUCUAGGGCCAUGCCACCCUGAACAAGCUCUGAUCUUGGAAGCUAAGCAGGGUUGGGCCUGGUAAGUACUUGAAUGGGAGACCGCCUAGGAAGACCAGGUACUGUAGGUG
rnacentral:rRNA from 1 species